UGGGCGAUAGCUAUAGGGUUUCAAGUAUCAAGGGCCUUGGCGCCCUUGAUCACCUUCCUUCUAUGGCUAGGGUCAGUGCCCCCUACGAUGAAUUCCACCUCUUAGGUGGCGGCAAAGAGAGAGAGAGAGAGAGAGGGAGAGAGGAGGCUAGGAUUUUGGGAGAAAAGGGUUUCUUCAUUCUUUAUCAUAAAAAAAUGACAUAUACAAUGUAUAUAUAGACACCCUGAGUCAAUAUGACUCAGCCCAA
rnacentral:lncRNA from 1 species